rnacentral:rRNA from 1 species
GACGAACGCUGGCGGCGUGCCUAAUACAUGCAAGUAGAACGCUGAAGGAGGAGCUUGCUUCUCUGGAUGAGUUGCGAACGGGUGAGUAACGCGUAGGUAACCUGCCUGGUAGCGGGGGAUAACUAUUGGAAACGAUAGCUAAUACCGCAUAAGAGUAGAUGUUGCAUGACAUUUGCUUAAAAGGUGCAAUUGCAUCACUACCAGAUGGACCUGCGUUGUAUUAGCUAGUUGGUGAGGUAACGGCUCACCAAGGCGACGAUACAUAGCCGACCUGAGAGGGUGAUCGGCCACACUGGGACUGAGACACGGCCCAGACUCCUACGGGAGGCAGCAGUAGGGAAUCUUCGGCAAUGGACGGAAGUCUGACCGAGCAACGCCGCGUGAGUGAGGAAGGUUUUCGGAUCGUAAAGCUCUGUUGUAAGAGAAGAACGAGUGUGAGAGUGGAAAGUUCACACUGUGACGGUAUCUUACCAGAAAGGGACGGCUAACUACGUGCCAGCAGCCGCGGUAAUACGUAGGUCCCGAGCGUUGUCCGGAUUUAUUGGGCGUAAAGCGAGCGCAGGCGGUUAGAUAAGUCUGAAGUUAAAGGCUGUGGCUUAACCGUAGUACGCUUUGGAAACUGUUUAACUUGAGUGCAAGAGGGGAGAGUGGAAUUCCAUGUGUAGCGGUGAAAUGCGUAGAUAUAUGGAGGAACACCGGUGGCGAAAGCGGCUCUCUGGCUUGUAACUGACGCUGAGGCUCGAAAGCGUGGGGAGCAAACAGG